AUGCUCCAGUGUGCUCCAUCCCUGCCUCUGCAGUUUCCAUGUGUUCCUCUGACUACCUCUCCCGCUGAAUCAGCGCAAGUGCCCUGUCGAACCAGAUUCCCGAAGGUGACAUGCUGCUGUGAUCCCCGGCCUGUUGCCGCAGGAGGUGCUGGUGUCCGUGUGCUGGGUGCAGCAGGAGCUGGGAGGCACAGCCAGGGUGAAAAAUUGAUGCUUUUCUUGCAAGAAUUAAUGGAGCCUGCUACAGAUGACUCUGGCUGGCUGGAGUCCAGCCAAUGUACUACGGGGUACGGUGGGAAAAGGGCAUCUUUACUGGUUUCUCCUGCCACGGAAAGCUAA
rnacentral:lncRNA from 1 species